rnacentral:rRNA from 1 species
GACGAACGCUGGCGGCGUGCUUAACACAUGCAAGUCGAACGGAAAGGCCCUGCUUUUGUGGGGUGCUCGAGUGGCGAACGGGUGAGUAACACGUGAGUAACCUGCCCUUGACUUUGGGAUAACUUCAGGAAACUGGGGCUAAUACCGGAUCUGAGCUCCUGCUGCAUGGUGGGGGUUGGAAAGUUUCGGCGGUUGGGGAUGGACUCGCGGCUUAUCAGCUUGUUGGUGGGGUAGUGGCUUACCAAGGCUUUGACGGGUAGCCGGCCUGAGAGGGUGACCGGACACAUGGGGACGGAGAUACGGCCCAGACUCCAACGGGAGGCAGCAGAGGGGAAGAGUGCACAAUGGGCGGAAGCCUGAUGCAGCAACGCCGCGUGCGGGAAGACGGCCUUCGGGUUGUAAACCGCUUUCGCCUGUGACGAAGCGUGAGUGACGGUAAUGGGUAAAGAAGCACCGGCUAACUACGUG